AGCUGAGCGUUGGUGAGAGAUUGAGAGAGAAGGGACAAACCAUAGCAUUGUGUUUCAGAGCAACCCAGUGGAACAAAGGCAUCUACCAGUACUGGUGAAGUCCCUUCUGUGAACCGCGCAACAGAAGCUGCUGUCCCAGUUCAAGGUUGCUCCUUCCCACUGGCAGACAGCCUGAGGAGCUGUUUAUAGGUUGUGCCUGCUAAGUUCGGAGGCGAAGCAGCGCGCGCCUAUUCUCUUUGCCGUUCUUGCUGAGGACAGGUACAACGUGGUCAUUCAGGCUUGAAUGCAUUGCCAGAUCUCCUUUUGGCAGCUGGAUGAGAAUGACACUGCAAAGGAAGGAUUACUGAGGCGAGGUUCAAGUUGUAUUCAGAGGGAACACAAGUGCUGUGCAUUACACAUAUCACCACCGCGACAGAACUGUGUUUGGGAGAAUCAAGAACUGAACAGAUCCUUUUUUAUUUCCACUCAUUCUCAGGGUGGUUCUUCCCAAAGAUAAGCAGUCAGAGUACGUUCGUUGAAGAGUUGGGCCUAGCAAUAUGGCAGCGCACAUUCGAUAAGAAAUCUUGUAAAAUGCUGCUACUGAGGACCACGUGUUCCCUGACCCAUUGCCUUGACCGCUGCACAGUUAUUGCAGGGCCAGAGCUUUCUGAAUUCUGGGCGCUCCUAAAUUGCAUUUAGGAUCCAACAUAAAAGUUGUCCUGAUUUUUCAAAGAUGCUGAACCCCUGCAGCUCCUGUUCUUGGUAUGAAUUUUGGGUGCUGAAAACUUUGGAAAAGCUGGACACUUUCAAGUUAUGGUGCACAUUGACUCCACGGACUACCCAGACAAGUAAUGCUGUGGGGUAAGAUGCUGUGGUUUGUAAUUAUUUGUUAUGCACGUAAGGUAGAACUUAGAGGCUCACCCUGAAAUUGCACAGUGCUGAUUAUAGCAGUGUCCCUAGUACAAGGAAAGAGACUUUCCCCUGCUCAAAAAGAGUUGGAGGCUGAUUUAUACAAGGUAGAUGGAGGGAAUAUGAGGGGAAAAGGCACCCAAAAGUGCCCGAGGAAGCACAGUACAUCACUAGCAAAGCCGUAAUUCAUGUCUCCUGUCUCAUGGUUUACAGGGCUGCUGUACUUCAUAGUAUACAUUCUUCCUCUGUGGAACUUUCCAACUUGUGAAUAAGGUUACUGAUAUGCCAGGGGACCCUCUCAUAUACCCCCAGGUGUAAUUAUGAAAGAAUAUGUUACUUCUGUGAGCAAGUCAUGCAUUUUUUCUCUUUUGUUUUUGUGUCAUUCACCCAAUGCUCUGGCAACUGUGUUUGAUAUUCGAGGGCAUUACAACCAAUUUAAAAAAAAAAAGAUAUUUUUCAGGAUGAAAGAUGAGUCUCUGAUUUACAUGGUAGUCAAAGUGACUGUGGAAGACUGGGACUACUGCAACUGUUUUUAUUUAACAGCUCUCUCUUCCCACACUGUAGUCAAUGAAUCUCCAAUCUCCUGGACUGCAAUGUCUAACACUUAUAGAACCGUAUCCGUGAUCGACCGUGUCAUGCUCACAGAGCUCUACCUACAGCAGUGUCUUAACAGUGGGCUGAUGGUACACUGGAUAUAAAUUAUAUGUUCUUUGGGGGUGGGCGGGGGGGAGUGGGCAUAAAAGAAUGAACCGGCUUUGCUGUGCAAUAUGUGCUUCUCAUGCUGUUCUUUAAGUGGGGGGUGGUGUCCAGCAGCAACUGUUGAAGGAUGGCUUGGGCUUCUGAGGAACUACAAGGAGCAGAUUAGCUCUGGCAGAAUUUAUUUCUUGCUGCUGACUCUGAGACCAUGGCUACUCAUGUCAAACAGCCAACAUGCUGACAGAAAUUUGGUACUAUUUGCUGUUGUAUACUUUUGGAAGACGGGGCAGAAGGGGUGCCCUUCGGUGUCCUAUAUGGUAAAGAGGAGGAUAAGCUAAGCCAGCUCCUGAGAGAAGUCUCCAAACAGCUCCCUCUGGCUACUACAAGAAGCUGAACUGAUGGCUUCUGUGCCCUGGAAGCUGUGUCUGAUGAUCACAGGCCAUUAUAUACUUCUCACUUGACUACCCUGCUGCUAACUCCACUUUUAAGAUGAAUUAUGCAAGAAAUGCUGUGAAGCAUCAGAUAUUCAGGAGCUGAGGAUUGGGAAGAGUCCUCUCUCAGUGUAUGAACUCAUUUCUGGAUAAAGUCUGAGACUCACCUGGAUUCCAUCUUCUCCGGAAAGGACAGAAAGUGGAAAGGAUCAAAAACAUAAUUGGUGGACUUUGGUUUUCCUGUGUGUGUGUGUGCUUGUAUCAUGUCUGAACUUGCAAAGAAUAUACUUGGUUAUUCACAAGGAAUCCAGUAAAUGGUGAAUCUGUAAAUCAGUUA